UACGUAGGUGGCGAGCGUUGUCCGGAUUUACUGGGCGUAAAGGGAGCGUAGGCGGACUUUUAAGUGAGAUGUGAAAUACCCGGGCUCAGCUUGGGUGCUGCAUUUCAAACUGGAAGUCUAGAGUGCAGGAGAGGAGAAUGGAAUUCCUAGUGUAGCGGUGAAAUGCGUAGAGAUUAGGAAGAACACCAGUGGCGAAGGCGAUUCUCUGGACUGUAACUGACGCUGAGGCACGAAAGCGUGGGGAUCAAACAGGAUUAGAUA
rnacentral:rRNA from 1 species